GACAGAGGUGCCAAGCGUUAGGCGGAAUCACUGGGCUUAAAGCGUGUGUAGGCGGGUCGUUAAGUACCUUGUGAAAUCCCCCGGCUCAACCGGGGAACGGCUGGGUAUACUGGCGAUCUUGAGCCACCUAGGGGCAGUCGGAACAAGUGGUGGAGCGGUGAAAUGCGUAGAUAUCAUUUGGAACGCCAAUGGUGAAAACAGGUAGCUGGGAGUGUGCUGACGCUGAGACACGAAAGCCAGGGGAGCGAACGGG
rnacentral:rRNA from 1 species